GUUUCCCAGCGAGCUGGAAGAAGCGGCGGCUGCACCAGCUCGGGAAGCUCGAGGGGGCCGGGCCAGGAGCAGCAGCCACGCGCGCCCAUUGGCUGGCCGGAGGAGACAAAGGCCCCUUUGUUGUCUUUCAAUGGCAUCGCUGGCAAGUGGACAAUAUAUCUAAGCAGCGGGAAUCAUCGCUUCCAUGGGAAAGGGCAGCAACUUUCCCCUGGUGACCCCAUGGCUUCUCUGGCUACCCGCAGCUGUGUAACCCAACAGAAGGCAAGCCAAUGUGGCCCAUGA